ACACUUUACUUUAAAAAUACUUUAUGACAUCCAGAUCAGGAGUUAACAGCAUAAAGUAAAAGCAGGGAUCUUGUAUUUAAUAUUUAACGUAUAAAGUAUUCCCUCCAGACAGACAUAUGAUAUUUCCUCAGUAAGUGCAGCAGUCGUUGUGAACGAGUUUAACUGUUGUUGGUGCCUCCGUCUGUGAGCUGUGAAGCGGUUUCUCUUUUCUAAGCUGUCAAUUCAUGUUGUCAGUGAGUGGGUAAAACACAACAGUAAUGACCACAGAGAAGGAGUAAUUAAACUUAAAAUUAAGACUGUUUGGAAAAACUACGGAGAAGAACAUUAUUGCUCUCAUCACACUCUCAGAUGAAAGAACACCUAAAAAAUCUCUCUUUUUUUUAAAAUGUGCCAGAAAUGAAAAGAAUCAGCCUGUUUACUUCUUUUUUGAAAUCCAACAGACUCAGGAAACUCAGAAGAAACACGAACAACACAUGAUGAGCUACGAAGGUCGUGUACACUGCAGUAUGAAAGAACCUACCAAACGUGAUGUCAUGGAUACACCUGGGACAGCUGCCAGCUCUGGUCUAAAGGAGUGAGGACGCCCCCCUGGUGUCUCAUGCUGAGUACAACAGCUCCCUCCCUCCCCCACAUCACAAACUAAACACAGUCAGAUCCUGUUGGACUAAAUCCAUUUAUUUUUUCUCUUCUAAUCAUGUUUUCUCCACUAUGAUUGUGUUUGUGCUUGUAUGAAUAGACGUGUCUUAUAUAUCCACCAUGAUGUCACAAUGUUGAAGCUGUUGGGAAACUAAAGUGAACUCAUUAUAAAGGAGUUUAGCCUGGAGGGGGGUUGAAACCUCUUCCUGUGUUCUGAGAGUGUUAAUAAUAUAUCUUAAUAUCUUUCUCAAUAAUAAAGAAGAUUCAGUUAAUGUGUGUUGUAUCAAAGUCCUAUAAGAGCUGAGGACAGACUGCCUCUCCUCAGUCACACCUGUGUAAUGCUGAUGAUGCUCUGACCUGCAAACAAUAAAGAUCUGCUGACAUUAUGAA